rnacentral:rRNA from 1 species
AUUGAACGCUAGCGGGAUGCUUUACACAUGCAAGUCGAACGGCAGCACGAGAAAAGCUUGCUUUUUUUGGUGGCGAGUGGCGAACGGGUGAGUAAUGUAUCGGAACGUACCCAGUAGCGGGGGAUAACUACGCGAAAGCGUGGCUAAUACCGCAUACGCCCUACGGGGGAAAGGGGGGGAUCUUAGGACCUCUCACUAUUGGAGCGGCCGAUAUCGGAUUAGCUAGUUGGUGAGGUAAAGGCUCACCAAGUCUACGAUCUAUAGCUGGUUUUAGAGGAUGAUCAGCAACACUGGGACUGAGACACGGCCCAGACUCCUACGGGAGGCAGCAGUGGGGAAUCUUAGACAAUGGGCGCAAGCCUGAUCUAGCCAUGCCGCGUGUGUGAUGAAGGUCUUAGGAUCGUAAAGCACUUUCGCCAGGGAGUGAUAAUGACAGUACCGUGGUAAAGAAACCCCGCUAACU